UAAGCAGAAAUUCGUGGACAUAAGCUAAAUUGCACAUUUUAUACUGCAAGAGAAAAAAGAAAAGAGCACUGCCCAAGCUACCCGAACUGCCCGUCCUGUGCUACCAAGUACACCCUUCGCUUUGCCGUCUGGCGUGGUCUCAACUCUCAAAACACCAUUUCGUUUGUUUCACAGGUCUCUCCCCAGAUCGCGAAAUCCUCGCUUGAAAGGCGGCUCGAAAUCUCUUGAUUUCGUUCUUCGGAUUAAUUAUCUUCCUACCUGGAUCUGAACUAGGGAUUACGAAGCUUCAAUUCGUUUGUCGAAUCGUUCUCUGACGCAUGCAAAUUGAGCCCUAAUCUCGGAUUUCCUUUGUUUCGAGGCGACGCAUGAGCUUAAAUUAGGGUUUUUGUUUUCAGUUAGGGCUCGGAGAUGCUAAUAGGUGUUUUGGGGACGGAUCUAGGGUUUCCUGCAUCGCGAAUUACCAGAGUAUUCUAGGGUUUAGUCGUCGAUCGAACGGUGGAAUUACGACGGUAUUGAUGUUUCUCGUUCGGGACGAAGGUGGGAUCGAAACUAAAAUCGGCGAAGAUGCAAGGUUAUUAUGCAUGGGCGGGAAGGUGAGGAGAGGAAACGGAGGCGGCACAUGUGGCCGGUCCCCGCGCUCGGUACGACGACUGUAGCUUCUGAUUCUACUAUAUCUACCGUUGAUUCCAUCUUCAAGGAUGGACGCAGGAUUAGUAUUGGUGAUUGUGCACUUUUCAAGCCCCCUCAAGAGUCCCCACCUUUCAUUGGAAUAAUUCGUUGGUUAACCGGAAAAGAGGACAAUAUAAAAUUAGGAGUUAACUGGCUCUAUCGACCUUCUGAAGUAAAGCUAGCUAAAGGCAUUUUGCUGGAGGCUGCACCAAACGAAGUCUUCUAUUCUUUCCACAAGGAUGAGAUACCUGCUGCAUCAUUACUCCAUCCGUGUAAAGUCGCAUUCCUUCGUAAAGGUGUUGAACUUCCUUCAGGGAUAUCCUCAUUUGUGUGUAGGCGAGUAUAUGACAUUGCAAACAAGUGUUUAUGGUGGCUAACUGAUCAAGAUUAUAUCAAUGAGCGACAGGAAGAAGUGGAUCAACUACUAGACAAAACACGACUAGAAAUGCAAGCAGCAGUGCAAUCAGGAGGGCGUUCUCCGAAACCAUUGAACAGUCCGUCGUCAACACCGCAGUUAAAGCCUGGUUCAGAUAGCGUACAGAAUAGUGCAUCAUCAUUCCCCUCUCAAGGCAAGGGAAGGAAGAGGGGGGAAAGAGGUGAUCAGGGCUCUGAGCCCAUUAAACGGGAACGUUUGUCAAAAACAGAUGAUGGAGAUUCUGGUAAUUUUAGACCAGAAAACAUGCUUAAAUCUGAGAUUGCCAAAAUAACAGAGAAAGGGGGACUUGUAGAUUUUGAAGGCGUUGAGAAAUUGGUUCAACUUAUGCAACCUGACAGGGCUGAGAAAAAGAUAGACUUGGCUGGCAGAAUAAUGCUUGCAGAUGUGAUUGCAGCCACUGAUAGGUUUGAUUGCCUUGGACGCUUUUUGCACCUCAGGGGGCUUCCUGUGUUGGAUGAGUGGCUACAAGAAGUGCAUAAAGGGAAGAUUGGUGAUAGCACUAGCCCCAAAGAAAGUGAUAAAUCUGUGGAAGAAUUUCUCCUAGCUUUGCUUCGUGCACUUGAUAAGUUGCCUGUUAAUCUUCAUGCACUACAGACUUGUCUUAUUGGCAAAUCUGUAAACAACUUGCGUAGUCAUAAAAACUUGGAAAUCCAGAAAAAAGCUAGGAGCUUAGUUGACACCUGGAAGAAACGUGUUGAAGUAGAAAUGAAUAUAAAUGAUGCAAAAUCUGGGUCGAGUCAAGCCGUUUCAUGGCCUAGCAAGCCAGGUUUUACUGAAAUUUCCCAUGGAGGAAGCAGGCGCACAGGGGGAUCAUCUGAAGUUGCUAUAAAGAGCUCUGUUGUACAGCCUUCUGCAUCUAAAACAGUAUCAGUUAAGGUUGGCCAUGGAGAUUCUGUUAAAUCAGCAUCAGCAUCCCCUGGGUCGGUUAAGAUGUCAACACCGUCGCCUGCAUCAAUGGGUGUUAGCUCAAAGGAUUUGCACUGUAAGAUGGGAGGUAGUGGUGGCACGACAGAUCUACCUUCUGCAACACCAAGGGAGGAGAAGAGCAGCAGUUCAAGUCAAUCUCAAAAUAAUAGCCAAUCUUGUUCAAGUGAUCAUGCCAAAACUGUGGGAUCCUCUUCAAAGGAGGAUGCGAGGAGUUCCACUGCUGCAUCCAUGAAUGUGAAUAAGACCUCCAGUAGUGCUUCUCGACAUCGGAAAUCAAGCAAUGGUUAUACGGGGACGGCUGCUUCCGGAAUUCAGAAGGAAACUGCCUUGGGCAAAUGCAGCUCUUUGAACAGGAAUUCCAACUCAGAAAAAGUAUCACAAUCUGCAAUUACAUCUGAAAAACCUCAUGAUAUGCCUAGUGUUGAUCAUGGAAACAGUCACCGGCUGAUUGUUAGAUUUCCAAAUCCUGGACGAAGUCCUGCACGGAGUGCCAGUGGGGGUUCUUUUGAUGAUCCUUCCAUCAUGGUUAGCAGAGCUUCUUCCCCAGCACUAUCCGAGAAGCAUGACAAUUAUGAUCGAAAAGUAAAGGGAAGGAGUGAUGCUUUUCGGGCUAACAAUGUAGCAGAUGUAAAUACAGAAUCAUGGCAGAGCAAUGAUACGAAGGAUGUAUUGGCUGCAUCUGAUGAGGGUGAUGGAUCUCCUGCUGCCAUUCCUGACGAGGAGCGCUGCAGAAAUGGUGAUGAGAUAGGUAAAACAGUGGAAGCAUCUAAAGCCACCUGCUCAUCAUCAGGAAAUAAUCCCAAAUCAGGGAAAUCAUUUGAGGCAUCUUUCAACUCCAUAAAUGCUUUGGUUGAGAGCUGUGUUAAGUACUCUGAAGCAAGUGCUUCUAUGUCAGCUGGUGAUGACCUUGGAAUGAAUUUGCUUGCCAGUGUUGCAGCUGGAGAAAUAUCAAAAUCUGAUCCGGGGUCUCCAAUUGGUUCUCCUGGGAGUAGUUCGCCAGUAGUAGAUGACUCCUAUAUGGGUAAUGAUGCAAAGUUGAGGUUAUCACGAGAAGAUGUUGGGGAUCAACGUCAAGGCCAGAGUGACGAUGGCAAAGAUUAUGAUAUUGAGAAGCAUGGAGGCAGCAAAGCAACUUUAUCUUUGCCUGAGGAGAAGAAGCCAACUGUAGAGUACAGUGAAACUUCCAGCAUGGUUUUGCAACCAAUUGCAGACUCAUGCUUGAAGUCCGAAGGAAGACCCAAUGAGACAACAGCAACUUCUAUGGAUGUGUCAAAUGCAGAAGUGAGAGAGGAUGCUAUGGAUUGUGAUGGAGCCACCCAACUUGAUGAGAAAAAGAUGUCAGGUGUUGUUGGGGUUGGUAACGAUGGUGGACUGGAUAUGAAAUCAAAGAUGAAGAGUGGUUUGUUAGAUGAAAAGAAGAAAGUUGAUAAUGUAGAUGAAGAGAUAGCAGAUAGUAGUAUGCCAGUAGCAUCAGACUUGGUUCAUGGUUCUGCAGGUGUUGAAUGUGAUCUUGAGAACACUACUUCAGUUACGAAAGUCGAGAAGGAAGUUGUUGAUGAGUCAUCACAAUUCCCAUCUUUAGAAAUGGAUGGUGGAAACAAGAAUGUUGUGCAUGAAGGGUUGACUUCUGGCAUUUCAACUGAACAGAAGCCACUAACUGUUCAUGCAAAUUGCCCAGAGACUACAGGUGAGAAUGGUGAUGAUACUGUACUUCCUUCUGGUUCUGGUAAAGGUUUGGGGCCAGAAAGCAUUAAUGAGGUGAAGGGUGAAAGGGCUGAUAACAUGGAGAUUAGGAGUCAUGGAGAAAAAAAUGAGAACCAGAGAAAGGAGCAGGUAAGUCCAGUCAUUGCAGAUCACAAAAAUGAAGCUACUGAGGAUGAUUCAGACAAAAAGGAUGUUGUUGAUGGAGAAUCCACUCCUCAUGGAGAACCACCCACAGUUAUUGUGCAAGAAACUGACCAGGGCUUAAAAUCCAAUGGUGCUGAAGCAGAUGAUAAGGAAGAAUGUACAUCUGCUGCAGAAGCCUUGUCUGUUGCUGCAGGAUCGGACAUGUCUGCUAAGCUGGACUUUGACUUGAAUGAAGGUUUCCCCGUGGAUGAAGGGAACCAAGGAGAGCAAGUUACUUCCUCUGCUGUCCAUCUGCCUAGCCCUCUGCCCUUCAUAGUUUCUUCAAUGUCAAGUGGUCUUCCAGCUUCAAUUACAGUAGCUGCCGCUUUGAAAGGACCUUUUGUUCCUCCAGAAAACCUACUUAAGAGCAAAGGGGAACUUGGGUGGAAAGGAUCAGCUGCUACAAGUGCAUUUCGUCCAGCUGAACCUAGGAAGGUUCUGGAGAUGCCACUUGGUACAACCGAUACCCCUACAGAUGCCACUGCAAAUAAACAAAGUCGUCCUCUAUUGGAUAUUGACUUGAAUGUAGCUGAUGACCGAGGUCUGGAGGACACGGCCCCUCAGAGUUCUGCACAGGAAACAGGUUCAGGAUCUGGCACUGGUAACAAUCGUGAUUUGGGACGGGGUGAGAUGCUCAGUUCUUCUACACCUGCUCGUAGUGCUGGACUUGAUCUUGAUUUAAACAGAGUUGAUGAGAGUACUGAUAUUGGACAGUUCACAGCAAGCACUAGUCGUAGAGUGGAUGUUCCUAUAUUGCCAGUUAGGUCGUCAUCAUCCAGUGGACAUUCUAAUGGUGAAGUUAAUGUCCUGAGGGAUUUUGAUUUGAACAAUGGACCAGGCCUUGAUGAGAUGGGCACAGAACCAGCACCACGCAGUCAGCAUGCAAAGAGCGGUGUACCCUUUCUGCCACCUGUUGCUGGGAUAAGAAUGAACAAUCCUGAAAUAGGAAGCCUUUCAUCAUGGUUCCCUCCUGGGAACUCCUACUCAGCUGUGACCAUCCCAUCAAUCUUGCCUGAUAGAGGGGAGCAGCCUUACUCCAUCGUUGCAACUGGUGGAGCACAAAGGAUAUUGGGACCACCUACUGGUGGUUCAACUUUUGGGCCUGAUGUAUAUAGAGGGCCAGUGCUGUCAUCUUCUCCUGCAGUGGCCUUUACCCCUGCUGCCCCAUAUCCAUAUCCUGGGUUCCCUUUUGGCACCAGUUUUCCUCUACCCUCAACGUCUUUCUCUGGGGGUUCAACAACCUACAUGGAUUCUACUUCUGGUGGAGGUCUUUGUUACCCUUCACAGUUUGUAGGGCCUGCUGGCACAUUAACACCUCAUUACCCCAGGCCCURUGUGAUAAGCCUUCCAGAUGGUUCAUCCAAUGGAGGGGCUGAUAGCAGUAGGAAGUGGGGAAGGCAGGGCCUAGAUCUCAAUGCAGGUCCAGGGUCUACAGAUAUAGAAGGGAGAGAUGAGAGGUUAUCUUCGGCAUCAAGGCAACUCUCAGUGGCUAGUUCUCAGGCCCUAGUAGAGGAACAAGCAAGAAUGUAUCAGGCAGCAGGUGCAGUGCUGAAAAGGAAGGAGCCUGAAGGAGGCUGGGAUGCAGAGAGGUUUAGCUACAAACAAUCCUCAUGGCAAUAGGAAGGUUAGGAGGCUUUGGGAGAACAAUUGUGCAAACCAUGGAGGCUUGAAUCCUGAGCCUGGGGGCCCUUAACAUGUCGCUUAUUCAGAGGAUCAGCUCCACUGUAAAAAUGCACUUGCUAUCGACUUUUCUUGGCCAGCUAGUGUUAUAUUGGGAGACAUCCAACAUUCCAAUCCUCAAAUAUGCAACAUGUGGCAAGUUAUGUAGGCCCAGGCUGCACUCAGUCCCAUACAACACCCAGAUCCAAGCCAUCCCUCUUGUGUGCUUACAUGCAUGCAUUGAGUCUCUCGGGAUGAGCUCCAGCUAACACCAGGAGGAGGAUGUAAUCGGUGGGGUCUUGGAGGAUGGGUGGUAAGUGAGUUUCCUUCAACAUGUUCUAAGUCUCCGACCACCACCUCUUUCGUUGUACCAACUGUAACUUAAGAGAAUCGGUCGGGGUCCUGAAGCUGUUUGUUCCUUGGAUCAGUUCUGGGUGGGUGGCCUCUGCAAAUCAGUUUCCUUUUGUAGAUAUUUAACUGUUGAAAAGCAUGUGUGCUAUGUUACCCAGACACUAGUCAAAAUUGGUGCCUCGACUGUUAUCUGUCGGGUCACACCCUGCUUCGCCUCCGGGUGCAGCUUUUUCUAUGAAUGGGGUUGGGUGUAUGAACUGGCCUGAUCAGAAGCCCUUCUAUAUUUUUCUUUACUGUUAAUUUAUAUCUUUUUCUUGCGUAUAUAGUUAUAAUCUAGCCUUUGACCCAACAAUUUUGGUAAUUGAAGUUUGCAGUUCCAGUCCUUGAUUUGGCAUGUCGUGGUGAUGGCCAUGUGAUGUAUUUAUUAUUUUAACCCUGAAAGUUGUUGCCUCCAAUGAUGCCAUACACGAAAUGAAACGACAGCGUGUUAGAUUUGUUUGGCCUUGGUGGUGCAAGCAAAAUGUGCUAUUGAUGGAUGAAGAUUAUCAGGAAGCAUGACCAAAAAUUACUCUGAAAUUUGUUUGGUGUAUUCUUUAUUCGUGAGAAUUAUACAAAGUGCUACGAGGUCUCCCUGGUAUA